rnacentral:rRNA from 1 species
GUAGUCCGCACCGUAAACGAUGGUCACUAGUCGUUGGAGGGUUCGACCCCUUCAGUGACGCAGCUAACGCAUUAAGUGACCCACCUGGGGAGUACGAUCGCAAGGUUGAAACUCAAAGGAAUUGACGGGGGCCCGCACAAGCGGUGGAGCAUGUGGUUUAAUUCGAUGCAACGCGAAGAACCUUACCUGGGCUCGAAGUGUAGUGUAAACUCAUGAAAGUGAGGUAUCCCUUCGGGGAGCGCUAUAUAGGUGCUGCAUGGCUGUCGUCAGCUCGUGUCGUGAGAUGUUGGGUUAAGUCCCGCAACGAGCGCAACCCUUGUCCUUAGUUGCCAUCAGGUAAAGCUGGGAACUCUAAGGAGACUGCCGACGUUAAGUCGGA